UUUUCAAUAACUUAACUCAAAUUCUCUUUGGCUAUUAAAUAUAAUUUUUUCUUUCAAAAUUUAAUGUCAGUUCUGUCUAAGAAAAAUAAAACAUAAUGGCGCGCCGGUUGUCGAUGGUCAGAAAACAUAUUAUUUAUAUGAAAAUGCGGGAACAGGAGCGUUUGCAGGAAGAGCAGGAGAGAGCAGAGGCCUUAGCUCAAGAAAACAAUAGCGGUGCACCAGCCAACGAACCCACACCUUCUGCAUCAGAACCUGUUAAGAAGUCAUCUGUUUGUGGAUUUUUGAAAAAUCUAUUUUUUGGAAAUAAAAACUGAAAAUGAUUUAGUAAUGAGACAUUCCAUUAAUUCAGAAAACAUUUUAGAUAUCUUAAUAUGGCUGGGUCCAAAAUAUUCCGUUUGGAACCAUUUGAAUAUCUUUGAAAUAGUUAGCUUAUAUAUGACAGUAUAUUAGUCAGCAGUCAAAUAUGAUUCUUUUGGUUCAGUUACGAGCUCUUAACAAAACAAGUAACGCUUUGUAAAUUUUAUCCAGAUGAUAAGCUUUUAGAACUUUAAGUUGAAAAACUUCUUCUAACAUAUAAAAUUCUUGUCUCUGGACUUGGAUUGAAAAGGUUCUGCAUAGAUCACUUGCAUACGAUACGUAUUGUCAUUAGGAACAUACAAUGUGUUAUUACUUUAUAAUCGUAUUUCAUUCGGAGCUAAUAUCAUUGGAUAGAGAAAGAGAAUAAUCGUGCGAACAAACAUAUAUUCACAGUGAAAAUCAGAUUCGUUUUUCUGGAAUGUAAAAAUGGAUGCUAAAUAAAUGCGUAACUUUUCAGUUAAAGGACUGAUAUUUGCUCAUAUUAAAGUGUUUUGUUAACAAAUAUUAUAACUCACGUUUAGUUAUUUGACGCUGUUCAUGCCAUUCCAGAACGACGAGCGACGAGGUCUCAUUUGAUGAGAUCCAUUGCGACAAUCUUUGUGACGAUACUUUAUUAAACAAGCAUGCACAUGUAUUUGAUUCAUAAAAAGGAUUACUUCUACUGUAGAAAAUGUUUCGAAAUAUGUAAUUUCAUUUAAGAUAUAUCUUAAAUGAUAAGCACAAUCAACUAACAGUAGAAUACUAUUCUAAGCAUGGCACAUUGCCCUAACUGCAUUACGUGAAGAAAUUUAUUAGUAACUGUAUUGCAUGAAGAAGUAUUAGUAUAGUUACUAAAACUCCAGUGGUAUCAAUCUAAUAUUGUCAACACAAGGUUUGAUGUUCUCAACAUCAUGGAUAUUGAUCGAGAAGGCCCGUACAUACAAGACGAUAAUAUUGACUGGAAAACGCACUGCAGAACUAUUAAGUAUUUUUCAAGAUGUGACAGCAUGAUGGACCUGUAGUAUAAUAGACCACCAUAGCCGAUUUGAUGGAGUGUUCUAACUUUUAUCUUGGUGGUUUUAUUAGAAAGGAGUGAUGGCUUUAAACGCACCUAUAUCACACUUAGCACCAUAAUAUAAUUAUUUGAAGAUAUGUGGUGGAACUAAUUGAUAUGUAAGAGACAUAAAAAUUGAAUGUCUGCACGCUCAUUAGGAAUUGGAUUUUUAAGAAUUUUAUUAUUUAAAAUU